rnacentral:rRNA from 1 species
AUUGAACGCUGGCGGCAGGCCUAACACAUGCAAGUCGAGCGAGCGGCGGACGGGUGAGUAAUGUCUGGGAAUCUGCCUGAUGGCGGGGGAUAACUACUGGAAACGGUAGCUAAUACCGCAUACCAUCAGAUGAACCCAGAUGGGAUUAGCUAGUAGGUGGGGUAAUGGCUCACCUAGGCGACGAUCCCUAGCUGGUCUGAGAGGAUGACCAGCCACACUGGGACUGAGACACGGUCCAGACUCCUACGGGAGGCAGCAGUGGGGAAUAUUGCACAAUGGGCGCAAGCCUGAUGCAGCCAUGCCGCGUGUAUGAAGAAGGCCUUCGGGUUGUAAAGUACUUUCAGUCGGGAGGCGUUACCCACAGAAGAAGCACCGGCUAACUCCGUGCCAGCAGCCGCGGUAAUUC